rnacentral:rRNA from 1 species
UGUUUGGGAAUGCAGCUCUAAAUGGGUGGUAAAUUUCAUCUAAAGCUAAAUAUUGACGAGAGACCGAUAGCGAACAAGUACCGUGAGGGAAAGAUGAAAAGAACUUUGAAAAGAGAGUUAAAAAGUACUUGAAAUUGCUAAGAGGGAAGCGCUGGAAACUAGUGUCAUUUGUGUCAUUUUGCCUAUGUACUGGUUGAUGUGCAGUGCUAAUAGUUGGUAACUCUAUUAGUAUUGUUAUUGUUGAUUAGUAUGUGGGUCCUGUGAUAUGAAUAUGUCAGAAUCAGUUUGUAUUUUCGUAGGAGAAGGAUAUGAGAAAGGUGAGUUAGAAGCAAUUCUAACUGUUAUAGUCUUAUAUCUCUACUAUGUUAUAGACUGAGGAUGUAAUAAUGCGCCACUAGGCUUUCUUCUCUGUUUCUAUAAUAUCAACAGGCGUGGAUGUCAAUGACAUGCUGUUUGUGAAGUGUUAUACUAGGCGGAUGUAAGAAUAUGCAUUAUCACGAUUCUGACUAAAUAGUUUCCAUCGACCCGUCUUGAAACACGGACC